rnacentral:rRNA from 1 species
CAGUCGCCACGGUAAAACGAAGGGUGCAAGCGUUACUCGGAAUUACUGGGCGUAAAGCGUGCGUAGGUGGUGGUUUAAGUCCGUUGUGAAAGCCCUGGGCUCAACCUGGGAAUUGCAGUGGAUACUGGGUCACUAGAGUGUGGUAGAGGAUAGUGGAAUUUCCGGUGUAGCAGUGAAAUGCGUAGAGAUCGGAAGGAACAUCUGUGGCGAAGGCGACUAUCUGGGCCAACACUGACACUGAGGCACGAAAGCGUGGGGAGCAAACAGGAUUAGAUACCCCUGUAGUCCCUGUCUCUUAUAA